CAUUAGAAAAAUCGGUAUCCGCCUGGGA
rnacentral:sRNA from 1 species